rfam:Vavraia culicis subsp. floridensis unplaced genomic scaffold supercont1.29, whole genome shotgun sequence.
GCUUCUGUAGCUCAGUCGGUUUAGAGCGUCGUGCUAAUAACGCGAAGGUCGUGGGUUCGAUCCCCACUAGAAGCA